CAACUUGGUCUCAACACGCCGCGGCGGUACUUACCGCCGCCUGACGGGACAACCACCGCGGCGGUACGUACUGCCGCGGCAAAUAAUUUCCCCAAGAUCACAGCGCCACUCGGUGGCGGCAGGCCGGUAGCUUUUCUUAAAGUAAGUGCUCUGAAAAUGGAUCAACCUCCUGAAGACCCAGAUUUAAAUGAGUCGAAAAAGAAAGAUGAAAAGAACGCCAAAAAGAUAUUGCAGCGGUUGGGUGAGCCUAAUAGAGGUUCAAACCUCAGACAACAAUCAAAUCUUUCAUUUUUCAAGCCCAAAGCUUCUCCCUGUUCUAAAACCCACAAGCCAAACUCUAGUUCAUAAGCUGGUGGUCAUCCAGCAGCUGCACCGCUGGAAGGCUUGGACUUGUUUCAGAAUGUUACGAAUCCAACUGAAACUACUGUUGAUGUUGAUGAGAUGAGGUAAAAAAUAAUGGAAAAUGUGAUGAUUGACAUUCAAAAAGCAGCAGACAUACAAAAUGAUGCUUUUACUAAAGUGGUAGAAAAGGAAAGGGAACUCAGGAAAGAAAGACUGAAAGGCAAAGAAUGGCAGUCAAGAAAUGAAGCUCUUCAUGGAGCUUGGACAACAGAAAUACGGACUAUUUUCGUUAAUGCCCAACUCAAGAGGAGAAGUCAGUUUCAUAGUGUGUGCACUGUGUGCAAGAAAAGUGGCCGAAUCCUCGUAUGCUGUUAUGAUUGUAAGCAACAUUUAUGCUGGGAAUGUGAUUAUGCAUUCCAUUUUUUCAAUCCACUUCAUGCCAGAGUUUAUAAAACAAGUAAAAACUACUCAACUGAGCAACUAUUACCAACCGAGUUUAUGAACGAGUUUGGUCAAAAAAUUGAGAAAGACGUUCCUGUAACUUGCUUCCCUCCUUCCAGGUGUUGGAGUUGUAGCUGGACACUUGUGUAUUAAAUACCGGAACCAACGAUGUUAUACUGUUAUCACAGUUAAAAAGGAAGGUUCGAUUUAAAGUCUGCCAGUUUCAGCUGCACUUCUUGCGUGUAGGGAGGCCCUCGAUGAAGAGUACGUUUAUUCAGAAUGGCUACCAGGUAAACCAGGAAAGGAUAAGGAAGAACCUGCUAAUCUCUUUUUUGAUGAACAUAUUUUGGAUACCUGUACGAAAUUCAAAACAAUACUCCUGGAACAUCACAAGAAAUGUUUCUGAGAAGUCUUUCUCAAAUGUCUACUCAAAAUGGCCAGCCAAGUUACAUCAAUCCAAUUCUGUUUUUUAAAGCCUAUGAUGAGAAUAAUCUAAUGAAGUGCAUUCAUCUCGUUCAGUUCUUACAAUAAUAAAUCAGUGAACAAUU